GACAGAGGUGCCAAGCGUUAGGCGGAAUCACUGGGCUUAAAGCGUGUGUAGGCGGACUGGUAAGUACCUUGUGAAAUCCCCGGGCUUAACCUGGGAACUGCAUUUGUGACUGCAUGGCUAGAGUGCGGCAGAGGGGGAUGGAAUUCCGCGUGUAGCAGUGAAAUGCGUAGAUAUGCGGAGGAACACCGAUGGCGAAGGCAAUCCCCUGGGCCUGCACUGACGCUCAUGCACGAAAGCGUGGGGAGCAAACAGG
rnacentral:rRNA from 1 species